CUGGAGAAAUUUCCACUGGAGUAAUGCACAGAAAUAGUAUUAAUCCUGUGGAUAUACGAAUUUCACUUUCAAGUGGCGGUUACAUAUCUAUCAUCACUACUCAUUGGGUAGAAUCAUAUAAUGGAAUUUUUGGUUUUUGUUGUUUAAAAAACAUUGAGUGUAAAGUGGUACUGUGUGAUAAAUGGAGUAGUUAAAGGUUAGUGUACCAUUUUUGUAUUUGGGCAUCCCUGUAAGCCCUACUUCUAUUAUGGAUGGAAUCCUGAUGAAGCAGGAAGAAAAAAAAAUGUAUGUGGGCCCAAACAAGGUGUGCUGAACCAAACAGGGAAUUGGUAAAAGGUCAGCCCACUGGAUCCGAAACCAGUAGGCAGGGUUCUUUCUUGGUUUGUUUGUUGUUUGUUUUUUUUCCAGAUGUUCAAGUUCAGCUGGUGAGACCCACACCUGAGAAAAGCCUCCUGUGCUCUCUGUGCCUGAGGAACAGGAAGUAGAUGGGCUCUGUCAGGCUCUCUCUCCCUGAGGAAAACCCUCAAACUCUUUCCAUAGCUGUUUUGGACUUGAUGCCCCUCAUAUGGUCUUUACAGUGAAGAAACACAGACCAUGGCACAUCUUUUAUUCUCUUUUAGGCUUUUUAUCCCCCCUUGGCAAUACUGUAUAUAGAUUGUACCUUUUCCUGUGUCUUAGUUUUCUGUUCAUUUAUUUCAUAAACUUCUUUGGUUGGGAAUAAAAUCUUUAUUAUAGCA